ensembl:miRNA
CGCCGGCGGAUGAGCGUCUUACCAGACACGGUUAGACCUGCCCUCUGUCUAAUACUGUCUGGUAAAACCGUCCAUCC